rnacentral:tRNA from 1 species
GUCAGGAUGGCUGAGUGGUCUAAGGCGCUGCGUUCAGGUAGCAGUCUCCCCUCGAGGCGUGGUUUCAAAUCCCACUUCUGACA